rnacentral:rRNA from 1 species
CCUACGGGGGGCAGCAGUGGGGAAUAUUGCACAAUGGGGGAAACCCUGAUGCAGCGACGCCGCGUGAGUGAAGAAGUAAUUCGGUAUGUAAAGCUCUAUCAGCAGGGAAGAAAAUGACGGUACCUGAGUAAGAAGCCCCGGCUAACUACGUGCCAGCAGCCGCGGUAAUACGUAGGGGGCAAGCGUUAUCCGGAUUUACUGGGUGUAAAGGGAGCGUAGGCGGCAGUGCAAGUCUGGAGUGAAAGGCGGGGGCUCAACCCCGGGACUGCUUGGGAAACUGUACGGCUGGAGUGCAGGAGGGGUAAGUGGAAUGCAUGGUGUAGCGGUGAAAUGCGUAGAUAUUAGAAGGAACACCAGUGGCGAAGGCGGCUUACUGAACUAUUACUGACGUUGAGGCUCGAAAGCGUGGGGAGCAAACAGGAUUAGAUACCCCUGUAGUC